rnacentral:rRNA from 1 species
UAGGGAAUUUUCGUCAAUGGGCGCAGGCCUGAACGAGCAAUGCCGCGUGAGUGAGGAAGGCCUUCGGGUCGUAAAGCUCUGUUGCGAGGGAAAAAGGAACGGAAGAGGAAAUGAUUCCGUUUUGAUGGUACCUCGCCAGAAAGUCACGGCUAACUACGUGCCAGCAGCCGCGGUAAUACGUAGGUGGCAAGCGUUGUCCGGAUUUAUUGGGCGUAAAGCGAGCGCAGGCGGUCUUCUAAGUCUGAUGUGAAAGCCCCGGCUCAACCGGGGAGGGUCAUUGGAAACUGGGAGCCUUGAGUGCAGAAGAGGAGAGUGGAAUUCCAAGUGUAGCGGUGAAAUGCGUAGAUAUUUGGAGGAACACCAGUGGCGAAGGCGACUCUCUGGUCUGUAACUGACGCUGAGGCUCGAAAGCGUGGGUAGCAAACAGGAUUAGAUACC